AUGGUUGCCGUGACAGGCUGGUACUUGUGGUGGCAACGACGUCUGAUUGUUAGGAAUGAGGAAGUUCAGUCCCCAUCCCGAACUAGCAGUGCCAUACAAGCAGUGGCCCUGAACUUUGUACUGGCUGCCAAAAAGCCAAGUGUGACGCCAAGAUUAAUCAUAUGGAAAAUACCAUUGUCUGGCCAGAUUGCACUUAAUGUUGAUGCCUCAUUUUCGGAAGAUGACCACUCAGGAGCGUGUGGGGCAAUUGUCCGUGACAACCAUGGUCUGUUUGUAUGCGCAUCCAUUGCAAGACUUGAACAUGUCCCUGACAUAGUUUCAGCGGAAGCUGCGGCCCUCAUGGAAGGUCUAAAGCUCUCACUGAAUAUAGACUGCAACUCUAUUUUCAUCCAAAUGGACAAUUUGGUGGUGGUGGACGCAUCAAACCAGAACACUGGACACUCAAUGGUCGCAGCACCAAUUUUAGAUGAAUGUCGAAGUUUACUCCAGGAAUUCGGGAAGGUCCUUAUUGAACAUUGUAAUAGGGAGUCGAAUAUGGUAGCUCAUGUGCUAGCGCAACGGGGGCGUGUUGAUCCACCAUUUGUUUGGUCGGACGCACCACCCGACUUUAUAUCUACCUUUUUAGUUGAUGAUGUAACUUUUAUUUGA
rnacentral:rRNA from 1 species